rnacentral:piRNA from 1 species
UAGGGCAGAAAGCGAGGUCACUGUGCU